rnacentral:rRNA from 1 species
GACGAACGCUGGCGGCGUGCCUAAUACAUGCAAGUCGAACGCAAAACUUUCACCGAAUGCUUGCAUUCACGAAAGUUUUGAGUGGCGAACGGGUGAGUAACACGUGGGUAACCUGCCCAGAAGAGGGGGAUAACACUUGGAAACAGGUGCUAAUACCGCAUAGUAACAAAAACCGCAUGGUUUUUGUUUGAAAGAUGGUUUUGCUAUCACUUCUGGAUGGACCCGCGGCGUAUUAGCUAGUUGGUAAGGUAAAGGCUUACCAAGGCAAUGAUGCGUAACCGAACUGAGAGGUUGAUCGGCCACAUUGGGACUGAGACACGGCCCAAACUCCUACGGGAGGCAGCAGUAGGGAAUCUUCCACAAUGGACGAAAGUCUGAUGGAGCAACGCCGCGUGAGUGAAGAAGGUUUUCGGAUCGUAAAACUCUGUUGUUAGAGAAGAACGUGUGUGAGAGUAACUGCUCAUGCAGUGACGGUAUCUAACCAGAAAGCCACGGCUAACUACGUGCCAGCCGCCGCGGUAA